UGGUCUGGAGUCAACACCAUGGCGUGGGCCCCGCUCCUCCUCACUCUGUUCACAUGCUGCACAGGUUCUCUUGCCCAGGAUGUGCCGAAACAACCGCCUUCAGUGUCUGUGUCUCCAGGACAAACUGCUAAACUCACCUGCACGGGAGAGAACUUUGAUAGCAAUGCAGUGAGCUGGUACCAACAGAAACCUGGCAGUGCCCCUCUGCUCCUCAUAUAUGCUGAUGAUAUCACAGCUGAUGGAAUCCCAGAGCGAUUCUCUGGUGCCAAGUCUGGGAACACGGCCACACUGACCAUCACUGGAGUCCAAGCCCAGGACGAGGCUGACUAUUACUGUGCAGCUUAUGCUAUUGGCAGUGAUGCACCUCACAGUGACACAUUGCAAUGGGGAAGAGAAAAUCUGGAGAGCACAUUUGUGAGCUGGUACCAACAGAAACCUGGUGGUGCCCCACUGCUGCUUAUAUACUUCAGUAAUAUGAAAGCUGAUGGGAUCCCAGAUCAAUUCUCUGAUGCCAGCUCUGGGAACAUGGCCACGCUGACCAUCACUGGAGUCUAA